AACGUAGGACGCAAGCGUUAUCCGGAAUUACUGGGCGUAAAGCGUGCGCAGGCGGUUCGACAAGUCCGAUGUGAAAGCCCCGGGCUCAACCUGGGAAUGGCAUUGGAAACUGGCGAGCUUGAGUGUGGCAGAGGGGGGUGGAAUUCCGCGUGUAGCAGUGAAAUGCGUAGAGAUGCGGAGGAACACCGAUGGCGAAGGCAGCCCCCUGGGCUGACACUGACGCUCAGGCACGAAAGCGUGGGGAGCAAACAGG
rnacentral:rRNA from 1 species